rnacentral:rRNA from 1 species
AGUGAACGCUGGCGGUAGGCCUAACACAUGCAAGUCGAACGGCAGCACAGUAAGAGCUUGCUCUUACGGGUGGCGAGUGGCGGACGGGUGAGGAAUACAUCGGAAUCUACUUUUUCGUGGGGGAUAACGUAGGGAAACUUACGCUAAUACCGCAUACGACCUACGGGUGAAAGCAGGGGAUCUUCGGACCUUGCGCGAUUGAAUGAGCCGAUGUCGGAUUAGCUAGUUGGCGGGGUAAAGGCCCACCAAGGCGACGAUCCGUAGCUGGUCUGAGAGGAUGAUCAGCCACACUGGAACUGAGACACGGUCCAGACUCCUACGGGAGGCAGCAGUGGCGAAUAUUGGACAAUGGGCGCAAGCCUGAUCCAGCCAUACCGCGUGGGUGAAGAAGGCCUUCGGGUUGUAAAGCCCUUUUGUUGGGAAAGAAAAGCAGCAGGUUAAUACCCCGCUGUUCUGACGGUACCUAAAGAAUAAGCACCGGCUAACUUCGUG